rnacentral:rRNA from 1 species
UACUUUUCGAAUCGCAUGAACUUUACGUCCGGCGAUGGUUCAUUCAAAUUUCUGCCCUAUCAAGUUUCGAUGGUAGGAUAGAGGCCUACCAUGCGUUUUUACGGGUAACGGCGAAUUAGGGUUCGAUUCCGGAGAGGGAGCCUGAGAAACGGCUACCACAUCUAAGGAAGGCAGCAGGCGCCGCAAAUUACCCAAUCCUGAUUCAGGGAGGUAGUGACAAUAAAUAACAAUCCAGGACUUCGGUCUUGGAAUUGGAAUGAGAACAAUUUAAAUCUCUUAUCGAGGAACAAUUGGAGGGCAAGUCUGGUGCCAGCAGCCGCGGUAAUUCCAGCUCCAAUAGCGUAUAUUAACAGUUGUUGCAGUUAAAUAGCUCGUAGUUGAAUCUUGGGGCUGGUUUGGCGGUCGCGUCUUUGACGUGUACUGUCGGCGGUUCUUUUACUUGUGGGGAACGUAUGUUGCCCUUUGCGGGGUGUGUACGGGAACCAUGGCUGUUACUUUGAAAAAAAUUAGAGUGUUUAAAGCGGGCGUCAAGUUGUAUACAUUAGCAUGGAAUAAUUAGAAUAGGACUUUGGGUUAAUAUGUGGUCUAGGGCCGAAGUA